GCAAGUCGAGGGGUAACAUUGGUGCUUGCAUCAGAUGACGACCGGCGCACGGGUGCGCAACGCGUAUAGAAUCUACCCUUUACUGGGGGAUAGCCCAGAGAAAUUUGGAUUAAUACCCCAUAGUAUACUAUUGUGGCAUCAUAAAAGUAUUAAAGGUUACGGUAAAGGAUGACUAUGCGUCCCAUUAGCUAGAUGGUAAGGUAACGGCUUACCAUGGCAACGAUGGGUAGGGGCCCUGAGAGGGGGAUC
rnacentral:rRNA from 1 species